rnacentral:sRNA from 1 species
GAAGACCGUAUCCUCCAUACUCCUUGGCCGAUUUCUCUUGGAACAACAUCACUGAUUCAUUGGAUCCUGCCACCCUGAGUGCCACAUUUCAAGGCCACCCCAUGAACGACCCUACCAGGACUUUUGCCAAUGGCAGCCUGGCCUUCAGGGUCCAGGCCUUUUCCAGGUCCAGCCGACCAGCCCAACCCCCUCGCCUCCUGCACACAGCAGACACCUGUCAGCUAGAGGUGGCCCUGGUUGGAGCCUCUCCCCGGGGAAACCAUUCCCUGUUUGGGCUGGAGGUAGCCACAUUGGGCCAGGGCCCUGACUGUCCCUCAAUGCAGGAGCAGCACUCCAUCGAUGAUGAAUAUGCACCGGCCGUCUUCCAGGUCAGGCUUCCUGGAGAGAGGCAGAUGGGUGAGGAAUGCAGGUGGGACACCAUUGGGACCUAAAACUCUUUCAACCAUUUGCCAUUUAGCAACACUUUCUUUGGGUCGUUUAAGAGCUAGGCACUGUGCUAAUGAAUCUGACCAGUCUCUGCCCUCAGUGGAGACAGACAGGAAGUGCAAUACGACUUACACUCUGGCAGAUGGAGAUCUGCAAGGGCCUGGGGGCCGAGAGGAGGGCUGAGUCCAGACUUGGAGGCUUGGAAAACAACUCAGUCCUCACCCAGUCAAACUCCCCAUUUUUACAGAGGAGGGAUUGAGGCCCUGCCUAGGACUCAGGACUCCUGCUGCUAGUCACAGAAUAAGGCUGGGAGAGGCAGGGAAAAGAGGGUUGGGCACAGCUUGGUCCUCUUUACCCUCCCUUGUUUGCCUUUCUUCCCAGUUGGACCAGCUGCUGUGGGGCUCCCUCCCAGCAGGCUUCGCACAGUGGCGACCAGUGGCUUACUCCCAGAAGCCGGGGGGCCGAGAAUCAGCCCUGCCCUGCCAAGCUUCCCCUCUUCAUCCUGCCUUAGCAUACUCUCUUCCCCAGUCACCCAUUGUCCGAGCCUUCUUUGGGUCCCAGAAUAACUUCUGUG